ensembl:rRNA 5S_rRNA 5S ribosomal RNA
GCCGGCAGCUAGCUACAGGUAUCUGCAACUCUCACAUGGUCACCCACUGAAGCUAAGCAGGGCUGCGCCCGGUCAGUACCUGGAUGGGAGACCACAUGGGAAAGCUAGGUUGCUGCCGGAA